rnacentral:rRNA from 1 species
ACGAACGCUGGCGGCGUGCUUAACACAUGCAAGUCGAACGAAGAGCGAUGGAAGCUUGCUUCUAUCAAUCUUAGUGGCGAACGGGUGAGUAACGCGUAAUCAACCUGCCCUUCAGAGGGGGACAACAGUUGGAAACGACUGCUAAUACCGCAUACGAUCUAAUCUCGGCAUCGAGGAUGGAUGAAAGGUGGCCUCUACAUGUAAGCUAUCACUGAAGGAGGGGAUUGCGUCUGAUUAGCUAGUUGGAGGGGUAACGGCCCACCAAGGCGAUGAUCAGUAGCCGGUCUGAGAGGAUGAACGGCCACAUUGGGACUGAGACACGGCCCAGACUCCUACGGGAGGCAGCAGUGGGGAAUCUUCCGCAAUGGACGAAAGUCUGACGGAGCAACGCCGCGUGAGUGAUGACGGCCUUCGGGUUGUAAAGCUCUGUUAAUCGGGACGAAAGGCCUUCUUGCGAAUAGUGAGAAGGAUUGACGGUACCGGAAUAGAAAGCCACGGCUAACUACGUG